GGAAAUUGAAUUCGAACGAGGAAUCUAGGGAAUGAUUCAAAAGGAUUUAUGAGACGAAUGUUAGUAAGAAAUGUCAGAUGCAGAACUCAUCAACGAGGACGAAGCUACGAACCUGAAGAAUUGUUUUUUCUUUCUUUUUUUGCACUUAUCGGAGCUAACUAGAAAUUUCGGACUUCUUUGUUACUUUUUGUUUUGACUUUUGACUUUUGAGGCGAUGUUGGGUAGAACUCGG
rnacentral:lncRNA from 1 species